AACCAAUCGACUUUUUAUUAAGUCGUAAUAAAUUGAUGAAUUCUGAGUAACUACAUUAUUAGCGAACCGCAUGAUCUCGUAUCGGCGGUCUGUCGGUCAAGCAACUGCCUUAUCAGCUUGUCAUUAGGUUACAUGCCUAACGAGGCGUCAACGGGUAACGAACGAUUGGGGUCUGACAUCGGAGAGGGAGCCUGAGAAACGGCUACCACAUCUAAGGAAGGCAGCAGGCGCGCAAAUUACCCACUCCCGGCACGGGGAGGUAGUGACGAGAAAUAACGAUGCGGGGCCCUCAUGGGCACUCGUAAUCGGAAUGAGUACACUUUAAAUCCUUUAACGAGGAUCUAUUGGAGGGCAAGUCUGGUGCCAGCAGCCGCGGUAAUUCCAGCUCCAAUAGCGUAUAUUAAAGUUGUUGCAGUUAAAAAGCUCGUAGUUGGAUUUGUGGCGGCUCGUGAGGCCCAAUUUUGGUGCUAUCGCGAGACGCCAUCCUUGGGUGGAACCUGUGUGGCAUUAAGUUGUCGUGCAGGGGAUGCCCAUCGUUUACUGUGAAAAAAUUAGAGUGUUCAAAGCAGGCUUAUG
rnacentral:rRNA from 1 species